GACGAACGCUGGCGGCGUGCUUAACACAUGCAAGUCGAACGGAAAGGCCUCUUCGGAGGUACUCGAGUGGCGAACGGGUGAGUAACACGUGGGCAAUCUGCCCUGCACUUCGGGAUAAGCCUGGGAAGCUGGGUCUAAUACCGGAUCGGACCUCAAGACGCAUGUCUUCUGGUGGAAAGCUUUUGCGGUGUGGGAUGGGCCCGCGGCCUAUCAACUUGUUGGUGGGGUGACGGCCUACCAAGGCGACGACGGGUAGCCGGCCUGAGAGGAUGUCCGGCCACACUGGGACUGAGAUACGGCCCAGACUCCUACGGGAGGCAGCAGUGGGGAAUAUUGCACAAUGGGCGCAAGCCUGAUGCAGCGACGCCGCGUGGGGGAUGACGGCCUUCGGGUUGUAAACCUCUUUCACCAUCGACGAAGGUCCGGGUUUUCUCGGAUUGACGGUAGGUGGAGAAGAAGCACCGGCCAACUACGUGCCAGCCGCCGCGGUAA
rnacentral:rRNA from 1 species